CCUGCACAGUCAAAAAGUAGAAGGAAAGGAAAGAAAAAGAAAAAGGCUACUCUAAUCCUAGGUCUGCUACUUCCAGUACCAUGUAGAACCUGCUGUAUAGGCUUAUGGGGGAUGGGAUCCAAUGUUGUAUGGGGAGUAGGGAGUAAGCUCUGGACUCCAGAGUCUACAUUACAAGUUUGGUUGCCAAAUCCAAGAACAACACCUUUCCAAUUGGGGACAGUAAAGGGGUUACCACUUCAAGACGAUAACAGUGCCAAGG